rnacentral:lncRNA from 1 species
UUGGAUUUUGCAGUUUUGUGUUCGCUUUCUUUUCAGGCCCACCCUCGCCAUUCUCUACUUGUUAAUCACGCGCUGGAGAAAGGCCCUGCUAUAUUUCCAAAUUAAGAAGAAGUUCAAGGACCACUUGGGCAGAGAGAGAGUCUAUUUCAACAUGCAGAGGUUUGCUUGUAGAGCUGCAGGGGCACCGCAUUCCUUAUCACUCGAUGUGCAUAUAGCUAUAGG